rnacentral:rRNA from 1 species
UCGGGAAUCUUGCACAAUGGGCGAAAGCCUGAUGCAGCAACGCCGUGUGAGCGAGGAAGGCCUUAGGGUCGUAAAGCUCUGUUGUUGGGGACGAAGGGCGAAGGGUUAAUAGCCUCUAGCCUGACGGUACCCUUCGAGGAAGCCCCGGCUAACUACGUGCCAGCAGCCGCGGUAAUACGUAGGGGGCGAGCGUUGUCCGGAAUUAUUGGGCGUAAAGAGCGUGUAGGCGGCCUGGUAAGUCUGCCGUGAAAACCUGGGGCUCAACCCUGGGCGUGCGGUGGAUACUGCUAGGCUAGAGGAUGGUAGAGGCGAGUGGAAUUCCCGGUGUAGCGGUGAAAUGCGCAGAUAUCGGGAGGAACACCAGUAGCGAAGGCGGCUCGCUGGGCCAUUCCUGACGCUGAGACGCGAAAGCGUGGGGAGCAAACAGGAUUAGAUACCCGCGUAGUCC